AUUAGUGGCGAACGGGUGAGUAACACGUGAGUAACCUGCCCUUAACUCUGGGAUAAGCCUGGGAAACUGGGUCUAAUACCGGAUAGGAGCGCCUACCGCAUGGUGGGUGUUGGAAAGAUUUAUCGGUUUUGGAUGGACUCGCGGCCUAUCAGCUUGUUGGUGAGGUAAUGGCUCACCAAGGCGACGACGGGUAGCCGGCCUGAGAGGGUGACCGGCCACACUGGGACUGAGACACGGCCCAGACUCCUACGGGAGGCAGCAGUGGGGAAUAUUGCACAAUGGGCGAAAGCCUGAUGCAGCGACGCCGCGUGAGGGAUGACGGCCUUCGGGUUGUAAACCUCUUUCAGUAGGGAAGAAGCGAAAGUGACGGUACCUGCAGAAGAAGCACCGGCUAACUACGUGCCAGCAGCCGCGGUAAUACGUAGGGUGCGAGCGUUAUCCGGAAUUAUUGGGCGUAAAGAGCUCGUAGGCGGUUUGUCGCGUCUGUCGUGAAAGUCCGGGGCUUAACCCCGGAUCUGCGGUGGGUACGGGCAGACUAGAGUGCAGUAGGGGAGACUGGAAUUCCUGGUGUAGCGGUGGAAUGCGCAGAUAUCAGGAGGAACACCGAUGGCGAAGGCAGGUCUCUGGGCUGUAACUGACGCUGAGGAGCGAAAGCAUGGGGAGCGAACAGGAUUAGAUACCCUGGUAGUCCAUGCCGUAAACGUUGGGCACUAGGUGUGGGGACCAUUCCACGGUUUCCGCGCCGCAGCUAACGCAUUAAGUGCCCCGCCUGGG
rnacentral:rRNA from 3 species